UACGUAGGGACCAAGCGUUGUUCGGAUUUACUGGGCGUAAAGCGUGCGCAGGCGGUUUCUUAAGUCAGAUGUGAAAGCCCCGGGCUUAACCUGGGAACUGCGUUUGAAACUGGGAGACUUGAGUGUGGCAGAGGGGGGUGGAAUUCCACGUGUAGCAGUGAAAUGCGUAGAUAUGUGGAGGAACACCAAUGGCGAAGGCAGCCCCCUGGGUCAACACUGACGCUCAUGCACGAAAGCGUGGGGAGCAAACAGG
rnacentral:rRNA from 1 species